rnacentral:lncRNA from 1 species
UGAAGGGUGAUUAGGGCGUCAUGCGGAAGCUUACAAUUGCAAUCAAGACGGUGAUAAAUUAGAUGACAAAUAAAGCGAUACUAAAACAUAAUAUUAUUAAUAUGAAAACUAAUUUAAAAGAAAAAUAUUAUAACUGUUGAGAGAAUAAAUCUCCCCAUAAACUAAACUCUUUAAAUGUCUACAUUGUGGAUACUAUUGUGUUAUGCUAUGAGAAUACAGAUCUUCAAUUUAUAGAUCUCCAAAAUAUUCCUCUAAGGAAAGAAUAAACCAAAUAUGGAAGAAAAUUAUAUUUUUCUUUCAGAAAAAGUUCAAGUAUUUAUGGUAAUACUUUGACUUUUCUUUAAGGAAAUAAAUAAACUUCAAAUAAGGUAAGAAAAUAAGGGCAAAACCCUAACAGUU